rnacentral:rRNA from 1 species
AACGCGAAGAACCUUACCUGGGCUCGAACGGCUGCAGAACGGUGGUAGAAAUAUCGCCCUUCCCGCAAGGGACUGUAGUCGAGGUGCUGCAUGGCUGUCGUCAGCUCGUGUCGUGAGAUGUUGGGUUAAGUCCCGCAACGAGCGCAACCCUUGUCCUGUGUUGCUAACCGAAAGGUGCACUCUCAGGAGACCGCCAGCGAUAAGUUGGAGGAAGGUGGGGAUGACGUCAAGUCAUCAUGGCCUUUAUGUCCAGGGCUACACACGUGCUACAAUGGACGGUACAAAGCGCUGCAAACUCGCGAGAGGGAGCUAAUCGCAAAAAACCGUUCUCAGUUCGGAUUGCAGGCUGCAACUCGCCUGCAUGAAGCUGGAAUCGCUAGUAAUGGCAUAUCAGAACGAUGCCGUGAAUACGUUCCCGGGCCUUGUA